CGAUAGCAUUCAGUAUGCAGCGCGUUGCCCCCUCCGUCGAUUGUCGUUCUCAAUUACACAAUAUACCUUAACGGCUCCUCAUUCGCGCAGUUGCAGUGAUUUAUUUGGUGGAUUGCAAAGACAUGUUCCUUCCCGCAACACAAUAGCAAAGCACUUGCGGGCAUUGUUUGCUCUGCACUUGCUUGUCGAUACUCAACCUGCGGUCGCGGCUAUAAAGUGGGUCUGCUAUGCUAGCUUGCAGUUCACCCUGGAGGACCGAAGAAAUCCGUUGCAGUCACACACUUGCGCUCGAAAUAUUGCAACGCCUAAUUGCAUCGUCGACCACGCCACCCGACAAACACACACCACCCUGUGGGGUGUGAAGCAGCGAGAUACAACUAUUCAGCAACGCUGUUGUACCCAUGAAAUCAGCCGGGGCUCGAGAUGGACUUUAUCACCGGAAAUAAUGGCUUCCCGCUUGCGCGCGUUACCGUCAAUCGUUACCACUUGUGCUACGGGUUACAGAGCCGUGAACGUUUAAUGAUACGGUGCUUCGGUUACAAAUCUGCACAAACACCUUCAAACAAUUUUGGGAUAGAUGGUAUCUCUACACGAACCUUACGAGGAGAAAUCAAUUCCCCUGAGAAGAGUGAGAAAUUGGACGUAGCUGUCAAGGGUAAAUG